GAAUGCUGACAUAAGUAACGAUAAAGCGGGUGAAAAGCCCGCUCGCCGGAAGACCAAGGGUUCCUGUCCAACGUUAAUCGGGGCAGGGUGAGUCGACCCCUAAGGCGAGGCCGAAAGGCGUAGUCGAUGGGAAACGGGUUAAUAUUCCCGUACUUGGUGUUACUGCGAAGGGGGGACGGAGAAGGCUAUGUUGGCCGGGCGACGGUUGUCCCGGUUUAAGCGUGUAGGCUGACUUUCCAGGCAAAUCCGGAGAGUCAAGGCUGAGGCGUGACGACGAGGCACUACGGUGCUGAAGCAACAAAUGCCCUGCUUCCAGGAAAAGCCUCUAAGCAUCAGGUAACAUCAAAUCGUACCCCAAACCGACACAGGUGGUCAGGUAGAGAAUACCAAGGCGCUUGAGAGAACUCGGGUGAAGGAACUAGGCAAAAUGGUGCCGUAACUUCGGGAGAAGGCACGCUGACAUGUAGGUGAAGUGAUUUACUCAUGGAGCUGAAGUCAGUCGAAGAUACCAGCUGGCUGCAACUGUUUAUUAAAAACACAGCACUGUGCAAACACGAAAGUGGACGUAUACGGUGUGACGCCUGCCCGGUGCCGGAAGGUUAAUUGAUGGGGUCAGCGCAAGCGAAGCUCCUGAUCGAAGCCCCGGUAAACGGCGGCCGUAACUAUAACGGUCCUAAGGUAGCGAAAUUCCUUGUCGGGUAAGUUCCGACCUGCACGAAUGGCGUAAUGAUGGCCAGGCUGUCUCCACCCGAGACUCAGUGAAAUUGAACUCGCUGUGAAGAUGCAGUGUACCCGCGGCAAGACGGAAAGACCCCGUGAACCUUUACUAUAGCUUGACACUGAACAUUGAGCCUUGAUGUGUAGGAUAGGUGGGAGGCUUUGAAGCGUGGACGCCAGUCUGCGUGGAGCCAACCUUGAAAUACCACCCUUUAAUGUUUGAUGUUCUAACGUGGACCCGUUACCCGGGUUGCGGACAGUGUCUGGUGGGUAGUUUGACUGGGGCGGUCUCCUCCUAAAGAGUAACGGAGGAGCACGAAGGUUGGCUAAUCCUGGUCGGACAUCAGGAGGUUAGUGCAAUGGCAUAAGCCAGCUUGACUGCGAGCGUGACGGCGCGAGCAGGUGCGAAAGCAGGUCAUAGUGAUCCGGUGGUUCUGAAUGGAAGGGCCAUCGCUCAACGGAUAAAAGGUACUCCGGGGAUAACAGGCUGAUACCGCCCAAGAGUUCAUAUCGACGGCGGUGUUUGGCACCUCGAUGUCGGCUCAUCACAUCCUGGGGCUGAAGUAGGUCCCAAGGGUAUGGCUGUUCGCCAUUUAAAGUGGUACGCGAGCUGGGUUUAGAACGUCGUGAGACAGUUCGGUCCCUA
rnacentral:rRNA from 1 species